UCCUUGUGUUGCAUCCCU
rnacentral:siRNA from 1 species